rnacentral:rRNA from 1 species
CCUACGGGAGGCAGCAGUGGGGAAUAUUGGGCAAUGGGCGCAAGCCUGACCCAGCAACGCCGCGUGAAGGAAGAAGGCUUUCGGGUUGUAAACUUCUUUUCUCAGGGACGAAGCAGGUGACGGUACCUGAUGAAUAAGCCACGGCUAACUACGUGCCAGCAGCCGCGGUAAUACGUAGGUGGCAAGCGUUAUCCGGAUUUACUGGGUGUAAAGGGCGUGUAGGCGGGACUGCAAGUCAGAUGUGAAAACCACGGGCUCAACCUGUGGACUGCAGUUGAAACUGUAGUUCUUGAGUACUGGGGAGGAAGAAGGAAGUCCUAGUGUAGCGGUGAAAUGCGUAGAUAUGAGGAGGAACACCAGUGGCGAAGGCGGCUUACCGGACUGUAACUGACGUUGAGGCUCGAAAGCGUGGGGAGCAAACAGGAUUAGAUACCCUGGUAGUC